AAGUCGUAACAAGGUUUCCGUAGGUGAACCUGCGGAAGGAUCAUUUCUGUUAAAUCUUUUUCCUAUCUUUACUCUCCCCUUUUUCACAAAGGGGGGGUAAAAUAGCUAAAAAUAAUAACAACAAACGUCAACCGUGUGCAAGUGUCAUUCAUACACAAAUGUGAAUUUGUGUGUGUAUUCGUGUAGUGUGUGUUGCACUGUUUCCCCUUUGUAAGUUUUACAAAAAGGGGGGCAGUGCAGCAUCAUUGCCACACUCUAUUUUUUGAUAAACAACCUUUGAUAAAACACUCAUACACAGUAUGUCGAAAGUAAACAAAACAAUUUAAAAAACAAGAAAAACACAGUUUUAACGGUGGAUCUCUUGGCUCGU
rnacentral:misc_RNA from 1 species